AGAAAAAUGGUGACGUGUUCAAUACUUAUUUUACCCGCUGUAGGUAUUAAAAAUGAAAUUAUUGUUUUCUAGAUAAAGCACCAUCAGAGUUCUGCACACAAAACCUGUUUAUUAUCUGUUACUCCAGGCGGAGAGAGUCUUUUGACCCUUAUUUACACAGAACUACAGCACGAGCAGCRUGGGAAUCAAACUGUUGUAAAUUGGAUACGUCCGCUGACGUAUGGAAAUCAGGCCCAUCAAACGGCCCCCGGGUUGGCGUUCCUCCUGAAACGGAACCGAAACAAAGGGAGAGAUGACGAACCUCGGGCGGAGCUGGGAGCCGGUCUCCAUUUAGGCGCCUUGUUACGGCCGUGGCUGGAACUAAUGACCUGCGGACAGGAAGCAGCUGGUCCUGACGAUAACAAGCUUCCACCUGAGAUGUGUCAGAAACGCUCUCAGGUCUCCUCUGGUCCUCAGAGGCUUCAUCAGCUGCAAGCGACAGACUUUAGUGUUCGUUGUUGAGAACAUUACGAUUCAUGAAGCAGCAUCAUGAAAACCGAGGGGUUCUUAUGGAGGCUGAAACCAAAUCUGCAGCUUCUUUGGUUCUGGAGGUCCAACAGGACAUGACGAACAAACGCUUCGUGUCGAGGAGGUUUGUGCGAAUGAAGACAGAUCCGGGUCGAGCUCAGAGAGCCCAGUGAAGUUUUAAAAACAGGAAGUGGAUCAGGUGAUGGGCACGCUGAAGUCCAGGACCAGGAGAUCCACAGGGUUCAGAACAAAUCAAGUGCCAACUUUGUGCUGUUUUAUCUAACGUUCAGCUCAUUGAGAUGACUGGAGUCACUUAUUGGUAACUUUAAAUUAUUUACCUUUCAAACAUUUUCCCCAUAAAGAUAGAUUUAGAUGUUUUCAGUGUGCUGAAAUAGCAUACACAACAAUUAUUAGCCAUCUUUAUUUUUUAAUGUUUUUUAGCUAUUGAUGUCAAAUUGUUUUUAGCUACUAGCCCAUGUUACAUUUAGCUUUGAGUCUACUCAGCUUUUAUCUUAGUUUGCCUUAUACUUAGUUUUCUUAAGACUUGUUUUGCAGACUUUUGCAAUUUUUAUUUAGCCUUUUGCUACUUUUACUGGCUUUUYGCUGAUUUUAGCUACAUUUUGUUAUUUUGAACUAGCGUUUUGCGACUUUUUACUGGCUUUUUAUUGCUUUUAGCAAAAUGUUUGCUAUUCUGAGCUUGCAUUUAGUUACUUUAAGUGGCAUUUUGUUUCUUUUAUCUAGCCUUUUGCUAUUUUGAGCUGGCAUUUGACUACUUUUAACUGGCUUUUUGCUGCUUUUAGCUAAGUGUUUGCUAUUCUGAGCUGACGUCUUAACUAGCCUUUUGUUAUUUUCAGCUAGAAUUUUGCUACUUUUAACUGACUUUUUGCUGCUUUUAGUUAAAUGUUUGCUAUUCUGAGCUAGCACUACUUUUAGCUAGCCUUUUGCUGUUUUCAACUAGCAUUUUGCUACUUUUAAAUKUAGCUUUUUACUUGUACGUAGUUGUAUCUAAGAUCUWACUCACACCUAAAGACAUUUUAGUGUUUUUAAUUAACCUAACAUGUAUGGUUUUGGUCUGUGGGAGAAAACAAAUAAAUGAUGUAAGAUCUAAAUUUGGUGAAAUUACAUGUGGAAUUCCACAAGGUUCUGUGCUUGGACCAAAGUUGUUUCUCUUAUAUGUAAAUGAUCUGGUAAGUGUGUCAGGGUUGUUUAAAUGUGUCUUGUUUGCAGAUGAUACCACAUUUUKUUGUKUGGGCAAAGAUUUUGAACAGAUGUUUAGGACGAUUCAGACAGAAUUUGUAAAAAUACAAACUUUUAACAAAUUAUCACUAAAUUUGGACAAAACAAAUUAUAUGAUAUUCAGCAAUAGAAAAAGAACGGUUGAUGUUUUAUU